AACUGGCAACUGCAAGUCAGCAAAUUUCCAGUGCUCAGUAGGUUGAGGAAAUACAGCUAGGACCUGGAAAACAAAUGCUAUGGCCUGCUUCAAGCAACCUUCAAACAAAAGAAAUCUCAAUCCAACCAUAUUAUCGACAAAAAGCAUCUGCAAAUGAACCCUUGGCCACAUAGUCACCAGUGUACCAUACUGAAGCAAUAGUAACGAAUGAAAGAACCAAGUAUGAUCCUUGCCAAAUGAAUAAUUGCAGAUAGAAAGUACUGGGAAGCUU
rnacentral:misc_RNA from 1 species